rnacentral:pre_miRNA from 1 species
UUAACUCAUAAUUUGUAUGGAAUGGAAUCGUUUGCCUACGUUUGUCGCUAGGGGCGCUGUUCCAAGUGCAUACUAAAUUGGGUUA